AGGUCCGUCUGAAUCGAGCUGCAGUGCAGAGCCUGAAUGGGGGGCUUGGCCCCGUGCCAGUAUGGUCAAAAUUAGCUCUCUGUUCAAUUAUAUGCAGUCAGUCAGUGGACGCGGUGUUGUCGGAUCCUGACGCCCCAGUACGGCAGCCUUGUAUGGGGUGUAAGAGUCCCCACAAGGCUGCUUACCAUCACUGGAGUCGUUUUCUGAGCACACAAGCGUCUGGGAGGCAACAGCCGGCGAAAAAGCAAUUUUAAAGGACAACAAGAAGAAAGGCUUUAUCUGUUGCUGCUUCAAAAAUGACCCCAACAGGAGCUAUGGGAGAUCCCAUGAGCGCUGACAGCCGUGUUCCUGACCCUGGUGGCGUGGAGAAGAACUGCCACAAAAAAACAACAUUCCUUCUGUGUGAUGUAGGAUAGAGAAUGACCUAUCCUCAUGUGUAUUUUUUUAUUUCCUAAAUCAUGUAUAUCCUUAUUUUUUAUGGUUAUGGCGUGUGAUACAGAUGAAUUAUGACGCUGGGGCUUUUUCCCCCAUCUUAAUAAUAUUUUAGAAAAUCCUGGGACUCUAAGCCUUGAUGAUAUGUUCUUUGGAGGGGAGCGGCAGUAAAGACAUACAGCACCUUGAGACAGAUCUGACUGGAGCUUCACUAAAGACCCACAUGUCUCUGUUUGCAAAGUCCACAGGGGCCCUCAGGGGCCCGGAAUCCUCACGGCGGCAGCAACAGCACGUCUUCCACUUGUCCACUCCUAUUUUGCACAGCUGUAAUCUUUCAUCCACCUGAUUGUUCAUAAUUCCUGUAAACAAACCCACACAUGUGUCCACCCACACGCCAGUGUUCUGUAUGUAUUUCCAUGGUACGAUACUGUAAACAUGCCAAACACUAGCGGUCGACCGAUACCAAUGAGAGAAUUUCCAAUUUGUGAUUUCCUUUCCAGAAAAUGUCAUGGAAAUUUCUAUAGAGUAAUGUACAUUUUUAUCUUGUAUGCGCUGCUCAAUCAUUUAAUCCGUAAAAUAAUUAAAUUUCCUUAUCCAGUAAUCUUGAACGACUACUAAAAUCAUGAAAAAUGGCUGUUAAGAGCACGAUGGCCGAAAUAAUGCGGAUAUUAAUGAAACCCUUUUAAAAGUACACAAGAUUGCUAAAUUUAAACGAAAACGUAUUUGACACCAUUUUAAAUUCUCUGAAACUAUGUUAAAGGAAUAUUCUGCGUUAUACAACUUCAGCUCAAUCUACAGCAUUUGUGGCACAAUGUUGAUUACAACCAAAAACAAAUUUCGACUCGUCCUUUGUUUAUUAAAUAAUAAAGCAAUUACACAAACAUUUAUAAUGGAAGUCAAUGGGGCCAAUCUGUAAACACAUGAAAAUACUCACCGUUUCAAAAGAAUAGCCACAAUAUGUGUUAAAAUUAUUUCAGUGCACUAAAAUCAGUGUUUUAUCAGUAUUGUGCGUUUUACCGCCGUUAUCUUCUAAUAUUGGAUACACCGAUGUGAUUAGAUCACACGAUAAUCGUAUUAACAUGUAUAUUUACGUCUUGCGGCUAUAAUUUUGACAUUAUAACUAACCUAUUCACUUCCACUGUAAGUGUCUUAUGGUGCGUUCACAUACAACGCGAAGCGAACAUUUUGCGCAGCGAGAUUACAAAGUCAAUGCGAAGAUGCGAAUGAAGCGAGUGGCGUGACUCGAACAGCAAAAUCACUUAAUUUGCGUAUUCGCACAAGUUGAAAUUGUUCAACUCGAGCGAAAAAUCCGCUUGACGCGAAAGUCUAUCAACAUUGAGAUUGUCCGGAUGUCACUGUCAUAGUAGCAGAAGAAAUCUGGAAAAAUGGUUGUAGCGGUGUGUGAGCACCCCGAAUUGUACGACACAACGUCAUACAUGUACAGAGACCGGAUGAAAAAAAUACAUCGCUUGGAGGAAAGUGAGCGAGGAAGUUGGACGUUCUGAAAAUAUGCGCAUCUACUUGAUUCCAGCUAUUGGUUGAACUUUACUAUGAAACAAGUCGUAGAAGCUCCUCCUCCCGUCCUUUUCCAGAAGAGAAGCGGGAAUACUCGCGGGUUCGCGUUACUCGCGCAAACGCGAAUUUAAACGCACAUUUAUAAUCCAACGGUCAAACUCGCACCAGGCGAAAAUUUUCUUCGUGUUGUAUGUGAACGCACAUUACAGUAACUGCGAUUUUUAUUUUGUUAAAUAAACAAGGAACAAUUUAACGGAAUACUCCUUUAAUCGGGCGAUGUCGACAAUCUCAAAAUGGCCAAAUGUUGGCCCGACCAAUAUAUAUAUAUAUAUAUAUAUAUAUACACACACACAUCAGUCUAUCACACUCAAACACUUCAGUUUCACAAUAUUCUUGCUACACUGAUUCGCCCAUCUCAUCUCCAACACUAAACAACUUCAAUCAAUUCUCACACUUUACAGUAUUUACUGAGGCUAAGAGUCCCCACUUCUCAUGCAGUUACUAAAAAAGCUACAGAAGUUCAUCAUAUUUGUUGUUUGAUCUAUUUUUAGAAUUUGCUUAUUAAUAUUUGCUUUCAAUUUUUGUGUUUCUUUGCCAGUAUAUUAAAGUGUAAUCAUGUACGUUGUGAUAUAUAAAUAGCUGUAGAGACGCAUUGUUUCCUUGUGGUAAGUGACUGAGAUGCUGCCACGGAUUUGAGACACUGAUGAAUGGUGCUAUUUUGGACUUUUAUCUGCUCCUUGGUAAGGAAGUUCAGAUGGUUUUUAUUUAAUGUUUUUGUGUUGGGAGGAGGCGUUGAUUCUUCGUUGUCUGGUUGUAGUAACUUGGAUCGGAGUGACUUUUUAUUCCCUUCGUUGUUUUCCGUGUGGCUUUCUCAUUGGACAGAAAAACGGAUUUGUCAAAGAGUUUUGCGAAAUUACGGAAAUACACAUGGUCAGAGCAAUCACAAAACUGCAAUUUUUUUAACCCUUUAUUGUAAAGGUUUAUUCAAGGAGUAGUUACAAUUUCUGGCACGAGUCACUUCUGGCAAUAGACGAGUAAAACUAGAUAAGGUCAGGGUCCCUUGUGAAAAGAAUUUGAAAUGUUUUGUUGUUCGCAAUUUGCUUCCGUAAAGGUCAAGUGUGUAAUUUUGCCGUUUAAUAGGCGUAGGUUUAUUCACUGUAACUCUGUGGAGCCAUCAAAACAUUGCUCUGUUUGUUUGAGCAUCCCGACCAGCUCAACACGGCAACAUUGAGUCUUCUGUUUGGACGACCAAUGGCAGACAGUAUGAGAGUUCACAUGUAUUGUGCUUCAGAAAUUACACACUUCACCUUUAAAAACAUCAAGGACACUUUCAAAUAGAAAUCACUGUAUAACAUGGAGGUGUUGCUGUUGUAGGUGGCCGUGCACGCUCCCAGGUGAUGGUGGUUUAUAUAGUGUAUAUACCAGGGCAGCUGUAUGCUCGACACCAGCUGGGAAUAUCUAAUAAAUAAAAACACAAUCAUACGUUUAAUGCACGGGGUCCUUUGACGUAUUUUCUAGGGCAAAAAUGUAGCAUCAAAACCAACGGUCUGAUUGACGUUUUUUAGCGGGUGGUUUUGUAAAUGACUUUUAUUGGUUUUAGGAUACAACCCUAAAGCUUCCUAUUUAUUCUUUUGGGUGAUUGAUUUAUGUAGCAAGGUAUCAUCACUCUGUAUUUGCAGUUUUGUCUUUGCUUCCAGUUAAUGCAUACUUUUAACAAUCCUAAUUCAAAGACCAACUGGAAAGCCCACGUUAGUUUUGUUGUCUUCCAUUUUUUUUUCCCCACUCUAGUGGGGACCGUCCCAGCUUGCUCUAGACUUCCCCUAGUGGUUACGGCAUAUCCACUGCAUGCUCUUUGCUCCUGGUUUUGUUUUUUAAACUAAAUCAUUGUAUUUGUAGUUUCCUCACUUAGAAUAGGUAUGCCAACUGUGUUGUAAAUAGCCAGUGAAUAGCUUGUAGUAUGUUGAAUUAUUCUGUAAUAACUGUGUAUUAAUGGUGUACAAACAUAAAGUCUAGCCUUGUGAACUUUGUAAUGAUUCACUUGUAUUUCAUGACAUUUUGCAACUUAAGAUGUAGUUAAUAAAUAUGCAAGCUCUGA